CUCCUCCUCAAUGGCCAUCACCAAAUGUACUGGGAUAUGGGACUGACUGCAGCCACUGGAGUUGAAGUACUUUUCAUCAGUAAAGAGCAGCAGCAACUGACUAGAAACAUCUUUCCUACAUCUCUCAAGCAAAAAUAAUCCCAUCACAUACCUUGAAUCAUGGGAAAGACAUAGAUUCACAGUCAUACUAGCACAUCAAAAUAAUAUACCCAGCAGGAGGACCAAUGAAAACAUAUAGAAAUCUGCCUCUCAAGCUGAGGCCCCUGGACCAACCCUAGAGCAGCUCAAUAAUGCAGUUUUAUGCCUCACUGUGUGGUCUUCAGAUUCUUCAGCUGCAAAGGUUUCAGGAUGGGCUCACAAGCAUGUCUGGAGAGCAGUCCUUCCCCAGUGUUGCCAAGUUCCAGCUCAGACUCACUGCAGGACCUCUGCUGUGGAGAUGUGUGAGCUGAGGACAGAUCUACAGGGCCCAUUUUCUAUUCAGUUCAAAGGAGAUGGAUUUAAUUACAAGUGGCAUAAUUUGAAAAGAUUUUGUAGUUCACAAAAGCUCUUAAAAAUCCUUGCUGGCAAACUAAAUAAAUAAUCCUUUAUUGCAUCUCUUCAUCUUUGUAUGGCUGCAGGCUGUUUAACAAGGACCUCUGCUGUUCGUUUAAUUUAUUACACUCCCUUACACUUCACAUUCUUCCAAUUUUUUUAAUGAGUUCUCAUUUUGUUGGUCUUUCACAACAGUUUUUCAUGUCCCUUGUGUGCGUACAUGCACCAGCUCUCUGUCACAUAAAAAAUUGCGAAUCCUUCAAUACCAGCUGCUGUAGUUAAUAAACUUGUAACUUUACCCUCA
rnacentral:lncRNA from 1 species